AAGCUAAACGUAGAUGGUACACAGUGGGUGGUCACUGAAUAUUUUGACGAGCACAACCACAAACUCAUAAAGAAGUUCGACCUGGUAAAAUUUCUGACCGCCCAUAGAGGGUUCACCCCCGUCGAAAGGCAAUUCGUAAAGCUGCUACAUGAUUGUAACGUCGGUCCAUCAAGAAUGGUCCAGAUACUAUCGCUCAUCCACAGCAAAAAGGGGACUCUGAGUAGCAUGCCGUACAUACCAGCUGACGUCACAAACCUACAAGCCAAAUACCAUAGAGAGAGCAAGUUGGCUGACAUAGAGGCCACAAUGGCCUACUUCGAUGAGAAAGCGAAGGAAGAUCCAGAUUUCUUCUAUAGGAUAAGGUUGGACGAUGAGGACCGUGUCAGGAACAUGUAUUGGGUGGAUGGUGCUGCAAGGAGAGCCUACAAACAUUUCCGAGAUUGCAUUUCAUUCGACGUGACGUACCUCACCAAUAUGUACAAGAUGCCAUGCGCUCCGUUCAUAGGAAUAAAUAACCACAAUCAGUCAUUGCAGUUCGGCUACGGGCUCGUUCGGAACAAAGACACGGAUGGGUACGUUUGGCUGUUCAAGACCUUCUUGGAGUGCAUGGAUGGACUUGCUCCGAUGAACAUAAUAACAGACCAAGAUUUCAGCAUGCGUGCGGGCAUAGAGGAGGUCUUUCCGUUGGCAGUGCACAGGCACUGCAGGUGGCACAUUAUAAAGAAGGCUGAGGAGACACUAGAGUUUGAAAGGAGUUGGAUGGCCAUGACUGAAACACAUCAAGUCCAAGACAAUGAGACUCUUGUUAGCCUGUGGGAGAAGCGAAUGUACUGGGUGCCGGCCUACUUCAUGCAGUGCUUCUUCCCCUUUCUGCAGACUACGCAGCGCAGCGAGGGGUUCAAUGCUGUUUUGAAGCGGUACGUGAGCCCUGGCAACUCAUUGCUACAGUUUGCCAAGUAGUACACAACUUUGCAACAAAAAAUUCUGGGAUCUGAGCUACAGCAAGAAGCUACCACCGCGCUAAAGCAGCCGAGAUUGCUAACGUAUUUACCGUCGGUGGACGAACAUACGUUCAAGGGCAUGUCAGAUUCAGAACCUAAAGACCCGGACAAAGGAAGGAACUACUUCGUCAAAGCCUCGAUAGGCGAAGGCGAGUACUACUGCCAAUGCUGUAAGUUUGAACGGGACGGCAUUGUGUGCUGUCACAUACUAAGUAAUGGACAUGAACGCUGUGACACAGAUGCCCCGCCAUUUCAUAAGGCGGUGAUGGACUUGGGACGCCGACGACGCGUUUGCGCCAUAGACAACAAACGCAGUUCUGGCUGUGCCUGA
rnacentral:rRNA from 1 species